rnacentral:lncRNA from 1 species
GUUGUGCCUCUCCCUCUGACCCAUUCAUCAAACACUUGGCCAGGCAGCUCUCACUCUAUAACCAAUUCUGCCCACCUCGCCUCUGCACUUCCAGUUCCCUGUCACAUCCCAAGGGUGCUCCCUGCGGCCUAGAAACUCAGAGACACUCUCCUGUCCUUAGGUGUUCUGGCGGCAGGCCCACCUUCAUUCGGCAGUCAGGUUUGGUGCUUCAGAACCUGCAAACCCUAUGUCUGGAUCUACAGAUAGCAGCAUGGCAAAGGUGGGCAGCCCAGAAGUUGAAUGCUGAAGAUCUGGGGUUUCCUAAGCCAGAUUCCUCUUCUCCACUCACCCCCUGGACCUCGGCAGGAAGCAUGGUUUACUUGCUGGCCUCAUUCAUACAGCCUGACUCAGUGUACACGUACUGUAUUGGCAAAUACCUCCAUCAGUAGAAAAGACACACAGGGUGCUCUGGGAUUGUGGAUGGGAAGUGUUGGGCCUCAGGGCAGGGAAUUGGUCCAUGGGACAAGGAGCAGGCCAUUUCCCAAAGCAAGUUGC